AUUGAACGCUGGCGGCAGGCCUAACACAUGCAAGUCGAACGGUAACAGGAAGCAGCUUGCUGCUUUGCUGACGAGUGGCGGAUGGGUGAGUAAUGUCUGGGAAACUGCCCGAUGGAGGGGGAUAACUACUGGAAACGGUAGCUAAUACCGCAUAACGUCGCAAGACCAAAGAGGGGGACCUUAGGGCCUCUUGCCAUCGGAUGUGCCCAGAUGGGAUUAGCUAGUAGGUGGGGUAACGGCUCACCUAGGCGACGAUCCCUAGCUGGUCUGAGAGGAUGACCAGCCACACUGGAACUGAGACACGGUCCAGACUCCUACGGGAGGCAGCAGUGGGGAAUAUUGCACAAUGGGCGCAAGCCUGAUGCAGCCAUGCCGCGUGUAUGAAGAAGGCCUUCGGGUUGUAAAGUACUUUCAGCGGGGAGGAAGGGAGUAAAGUUAAUACCUUUGCUCAUUGACGUUACCCGCAGAAGAAGCACCGGCUAACUCCGUG
rnacentral:rRNA from 1 species